rnacentral:rRNA from 1 species
UGGCGGACGGGUGAGUAACGCGUGGGUAACCUGCCCUGUACAGGGGGACAACAGUUAGAAAUGACUGCUAAUACCGCAUAAGCGCACAGGACCGCAUGGUCCGGUGUGAAAAACUCCGGUGGUACAGGAUGGACCCGCGUCUGAUUAGGUAGUUGGCGGGGUAACGGCCCACCAAGCCGACGAUCAGUAGCCGACCUGAGAGGGUGAUCGGCCACAUUGGGACUGAGACACGGCCCAAACUCCUACGGGAGGCAGCAG